UACGGGAGGCAGCAGUGGGGAAUCUUGGACAAUGGGCGCAAGCCUGAUCCAGCCAUGCCGCGUGAGUGAUGAAGGCCCUAGGGUUGUAAAGCUCUUUCACCGGUGAAGAUAAUGACGGUAGCCGGAGAAGAAGCCCCGGCUAACUCCGUGCCAGCAGCCGCGGUAAUACGGAGGGGGCUAGCGUUGUUCGGAAUUACUGGGCGUAAAGCGCACGUAGGCGGGUAUCCAAGUUGGGGGUGAAAUCCCGGGGCUCAACCCCGGAACUGCCUCCAAAACUGGGUACCUAGAGUCCGAGAGAGGUGAGUGGAAUUCCCAGUGUAGAGGUGAAAUUCGUAGAUAUUGGGAAGAACACCAGUGGCGAAGGCGGCUCACUGGCUCGGUACUGACGCUGAGGUGCGACAGCGUGGGGAGCAAACAGGAUUAGAUACCCUGGUAGUCCACGCCGUAAACGAUGAGAGCUAGUUGUCGGGCAGCAUGCUGUUCGGUGACGCAGCUAACGCAUUAAGCUCUCCGCCUGGGGAGUACGGUCGC
rnacentral:rRNA from 1 species